GGAAUAUUGGUCAAUGGACGCGAGUCUGAACCAGCCAAGUAGCGUGAAGGAUGACUGCCUUAUGGGUUGUAAACUUCUUUUAUAUGGGAAUAAAGUGGUCCACGUGUGGAUUUUUGUAUGUACCAUAUGAAUAAGGAUCGGCUAGCUCCGUGCCAGCAGCCGCGGUAAUACGGAGGAUCCGAGCGUUAUCUGGAUUUAUUGGGUUUAAAGGGAACGCAGGCGGUCUUUUAAGUCUGAUGUGAAAGCCUUCGGCUUAACCGGAGUAGUGCAUUGGAAACUGGGAGACUUGAGUGCAGAAGAGGAGAGUGGAACUCCAUGUGUAGCGGUGAAAUGCGUAGAUAUAUGGAAGAACACCAGUGGCGAAAGCGGCUCUCUGGUCUGUAACUGACGCUGAGGUUCGAAAGCGUGGGUAGCAAACAGGA
rnacentral:misc_RNA from 1 species